rnacentral:rRNA from 1 species
UACGUAGGGUGCGAGCGUUAAUCGGAAUUACUGGGCGUAAAGCGUGCGUAGGCGGUUCGUUAAGUCAGCUGUGAAAGCCCCGGGCUCAACCUGGGAAUUGCGGUUGAAACUGGCGAACUAGGAUCUGGCAGAGGGGGGUGGAAUUCCACGUGUAGCAGUGAAAUGCGUAGAGAUAUGGAGGAACACCGAUGGCGAAGGCAGCCCCCUGGGCUGAGAUUGACGCUCAGGCACGAAAGCGUGGGGAGCAAACAGG